rnacentral:siRNA from 1 species
GGCUGUGAAUGGUGACCAAAACCGC